rnacentral:rRNA from 1 species
UACGUAGGGUGCAAGCGUUGUCCGGAAUUAUUGGGCGUAAAGAGCUCGUAGGCGGUCUGUCACGUCGGAUGUGAAAACUCGGGGCUCAACCCCGAGCCUGCAUACGAUACGGGCAGACUUGAGUUCGGCAGGGGAGACUGGAAUUCCUGGUGUAGCGGUGAAAUGCGCAGAUAUCAGGAAGAACACCCGUGGCGAAGGCGGUUCUCUGGGACGGUACUGACGCUGAGACGCGAAAGCGUGGGGAGCGAACAGG